UACAGAGACCUCAAGCGUUAUCCGGAAUCAUUGGGCGUAAAGCGUACCGAUAGGUGGUUUUACAAGUCAGAAGUGAAAUCCCAAAGCUUAACUUUGGGCCUGUCUUUUGAAACUGUAAAACUAGAGGAACAAAGAGGAAGCUGGAACGAACGGUGUAGUAGUGAAAUGCGUUGAUAUCGUUCGGAACACCAAUAGCGUAGGCAGGCUUCUGGGUGUUUCCUGACACUGCUAGGACGAAAGCGUGGGGAGCGAUAAGG
rnacentral:rRNA from 1 species